AUUGAACGCUGGCGGCAGGCCUAACACAUGCAAGUCGAGCGGAGCGGCGGACGGGUGAGUAAUGCCUAGGAAUCUGCCUGGUAGUGGGGAAUAACGUCCGGAAACGGGCGCUAAUACCGCAUACUAUCAGAUGAGCCUAGGUCGGAUUAGCUAGGUGGUGGGGUAAAGGCCUACCAAGGCGACGAUCCGUAACUGGUCUGAGAGGAUGAUCAGUCACACUGGAAGUGAGAACGGCUCUAGUCCCCAAGGGGAGGACGCAGGGGGGAAUAUGGGAAAAUGGGCGAAAGCCUGACCAACGCAUGCCGUGUGGUGGAAGAAGUUUUUCGGAUUUGAAAGCACUUUAAGUUGGGAGGCUUUACCAACAGAAUAAGCACCGGCUAACUUCGGGCCAGCAGCCGCGGUAAUUC
rnacentral:rRNA from 1 species